UCCAUCCAAUGAGGUCAGCAGGGCUAUCAGC
rnacentral:piRNA from 1 species